rnacentral:rRNA from 1 species
GAAUUCGCCCUUAGAGUUUGAUCCUGGCUCAGGAUGAACGCUGGCGGCGUGCCUAACACAUGCAAGUCGAACGAAGCGCCUUUUGAGAUUCUUCGGAUGAUUGAUUGGUGACUGAGUGGCGGACGGGUGAGUAACGCGUGGGUAACCUGCCCUGUACAGGGGGAUAACAGUUGGAAACGGCUGCUAAUACCGCAUAAGCGCACGAGAGGACAUCCUCUUGUGUGAAAAACUCCGGUGGUACAGGAUGGGCCCGCGUCUGAUUAGCUGGUUGGCAGGGUAACGGCCUACCAAGGCGACGAUCAGUAGCCGGACUGAGAGGUUGAACGGCCACAUUGGGACUGAGACACGGCCCAGACUCCUACGGGAGGCAGCAGUGGGGGAUAUUGCACAAUGAGGGAAACCCUGAUGCAGCGACGCCGCGUGGAGGAAGAAGGUUUUCGGAUUGUAAACUCCUGUCGUUAGGGACGAUAAUGACGGUACCUAACAAGAAAGCACCGGCUAACUACGUGCCAGCAGCCGCGGUAAAACGUAGGGUGCAAGCGUUGUCCGGAAUUACUGGGUGUAAAGGGAGCGCAGGCGGACCGGCAAGUUGGAAGUGAAAACUAUGGGCUCAACCCAUAAAUUGCUUUCAAAACUGCUGGCCUUGAGUAGUGCAGAGGUAGGUGGAAUUCCCGGUGUAGCGGUGGAAUGCGUAGAUAUCGGGAGGAACACCAGUGGCGAAGGCGACCUACUGGGCACCAACUGACGCUGAGGCUCGAAAGCAUGGGUAGCAAACAGGAUUAGAUACCCUGGUAGUCCAUGCCGUAAACGAUGAUUACUAGGUGUUGGAGGAUUGACCCCUUCAGUGCCGCAGUUAACACAAUAAGUAAUCCACCUGGGGAGUACGACCGCAAGGUUGAAACUCAAAGGAAUUGACGGGGGCCCGCACAAGCAGUGGAGUAUGUGGUUUAAUUCGAAGCAACGCGAAGAACCUUACCAGGUCUUGACAUCCGAUGCAUAGUGCAGAGAUGCAUGAAGUCCUUCGGGACACAAAGACAGGUGGUGCAUGGUUGUCGUCAGCUCGUGUCGUGAGAUGUUGGGUUAAGUCCCGCAACGAGCGCAACCCUUGCUAUUAGUUGCUACGCAAGAGCACUCUAAUAGGACUGCCGUUGACAAAACGGAGGAAGGUGGGGACGACGUCAAAUCAUCAUGCCCCUUAUGACCUGGGCUACACACGUACUACAAUGGAUGUAAACAGAGGGAAGCAAAAUAGCGAUAUGGAGCAAACCCCAAAAAGCAUUCUCAGUUCAGAUUGCAGGCUGCAACUCGCCUGUAUGAAGUUGGAAUUGCUAGUAAUCGCGGAUCAGCAUGCCGCGGUGAAUACGUUCCCGGGCCUUGUACACACCGCCCGUCA